rnacentral:rRNA from 1 species
CAGCAGCCGCGGUAACACGGAGGGGGCUAGCGUUGUUCGGAAUUACUGGGCGUAAAGCGCACGUAGGCGGCUUUGUAAGUUAGAGGUGAAAGCCCGGAGCUCAACUCCGGAAUUGCCUUUAAGACUGCAGAGCUAGCAGGUGAGAGAGGUGAGUGGAAUUCCGAGUGUAGAGGUGAAAUUCGUAGAUAUUCGGGAGAACACCAGUGGCGAAGGCGGCUUACUGGCUCAUACUGGACGCUGAGGUGCGAAAGCGUGGGGAGCAAACAGGAUUAGAUACCCCAGUAGUCCCUGUCUCUUAUAC